rnacentral:rRNA from 1 species
GACGAACGCUGGCGGCGUGCUUAACACAUGCAAGUCGAACGAUGAAGAAAAGAAUUGAAGCUUCGGCAGAAAUUCAUUUCGGAUUAGUGGCAGACGGGUGAGUAACGCGUGAGCAACCUACCUCUUACAAAGGGAUAGCCUCGGGAAACCGGGAUUCAUACCAUAUCACAUUGCGACGAAGCAUUUCGCUGCAAUCAAAGCUACGGCGGUAAGAGAUGGUCUCGCGUCCCAUUAACCAGAUGGUGAGGUAACGGCUCACCAUAGUAACGAUGGGUAACCGGGAAGAGAGGGUGAACGGUCACACUGGAAGUGAGACACGGUCCAGACUCCUACGGGAGGCAGCAGUGGGGAAUAUUGCACAAUGGAGGGAACUCUGAUGCAGCGACGCCGCGUGAGUGAUGAAGGAAGUCGUGUCGUAAAACUCUGUUCUAUGGGAAGAAAAGGACGGUACCAAAGGAGAAAGCUCCGGCUAAAUACGUG